GACAGAGGGUGCAAACGUUGCUCGGAAUUACUGGGCGUAAAGCGCGUGUAGGCGGGCCACCAAGUCGGACGUGAAAGCCCUGAGCUCAACUCAGGAACUGCAUCCGAAACUGGCGGCCUGGAGUGGUGGAGAGGAAAGCAGAAUUCCUGGUGUAGAGGUGAAAUUCGUAGAUAUCAGGAGGAACACCGGUGGCGAAGGCGGCUUUCUGGACACUUACUGACGCUGAGACGCGAAAGCGUGGGGAG
rnacentral:rRNA from 1 species